rnacentral:rRNA from 1 species
UAGCCGUAAACGAUACUCGCUAGGUGUCGGCCACGGUGCGACCGUUGUCGGUGCCGUAGGGAAGCCGUGAAGCGAGCCACCUGGGAAGUACGGCCGCAAGGCUGAAACUUAAAGGAAUUGGCGGGGGAGCACCACAACGGGUGGAGCUUUGCGGUUUAAUUGGAUUCAACGCCGGAAAUCUUACCGGGACCGACAGCAACAUGAAGGCCAAGCUGAAGACUUUGCCGGAUUAGCUGAGAGGAGGUGCAUGGCGUAGUCGUGU